rnacentral:rRNA from 1 species
GAUGAACGCUAGCGGCAGGCCUAACACAUGCAAGUCGAGGGGUAGCAGAAUUAAGCUUGCUUAAUUGCUGACGACCGGCGCACGGGUGCGUAACGCGUAUGCAACCUACCUUAUACUGGGGUAUAGCCCGGAGAAAUUCGGAUUAAUCCCCCAUAGUACUGUUUGAUCGCAUGGUCAGACAGUUAAAGCAUAGCGGUAUAAGAUGAGCAUGCGUCCCAUUAGUUAGUUGGUAAGGUAACGGCUUACCAAGACAAUGAUGGGUAGGGGUCCUGAGAGGGAGAUCCCCCACACUGGUACUGAGACACGGACCAGACUCCUACGGGAGGCAGCAGUGAGGAAUAUUGGACAAUGGGCGCAAGCCUGAUCCAGCCAUGCCGCGUGCAGGAAGACGGUCCUAUGGAUUGUAAACUGCUUUUANACAGGAAGAAACACACCCUCGUGAGGGUACUUGACGGUACUGUAUGAAUAAGCAUCGGCUAACUCCGUG